rnacentral:rRNA from 1 species
UACGAAGGGAGCAAGCGUUGUCCGGAUUUAUUGGGCGUAAAGAGCGUGUAGGCGGCCAGACAGGUCCGUUGUGAAAACUGGAGGCUUAACCUCCAGACGUCGAUGGAAACCGUCUGGCUAGAGUCCGGAAGAGGAGAGUGGAAUUCCUGGUGUAGCGGUGAAAUGCGCAGAUAUCAGGAAGAACACCAAUGGCGAAGGCAGCUCUCUGGGACGGUACUGACGCUGAGACGCGAAAGCGUGGGGAGCGAACAGG